ensembl:ncRNA Y71D11A.8 ncRNA
AAAAUGGCUUAAAACCAUCAUUUUCAGAUUGGUGGCCUAGAAAUCCCAAAAGUUAGGCCACCAAUCUAUUUUGUGCAAAAAACCGAUUU